rnacentral:rRNA from 1 species
UAGUCCACGCCGUAAACGAUGUCAACUAGGUGUGAGGCCCUUGAGGUUUUGUGCCGCAGCUAACGCGUUAAGUUGACCGCCUGGGGAGUACGCACGCAAGUGUAAAACUCAAAGGAAUUGACGGGGACCCGCACAAGCGGUGGAGCAUGUGGUUUAAUUCGAUGCAACGCGAAGAACCUUACCUGGCCUUGACGUCAGGAGAACUUAGCAGAGAUGCUUAGGUGCCUUCGGGAACUCCUAGACAGGUGUUGCAUGGCUGUCGUCAGCUCGUGUCGUGAGAUGUUGGGUUAAGUCCCGCAACGAGCGCAACCCUUAUCCUUAUUUGCCAGCACGUUAUGGUGGGAACUUUAGGGANACUGCCGGUGACAAGCCGGAGGAAGGGUGGGGACGACGUCAAGUCAUCAUGGGCCCUUACGGGCCAGGGGCUACACACGUGCUACAAUGGGGCGAUACAGACGGUUGCCAACCCGCGAGGGGGAG